UGGGGGAUAUUGCACAAUGGAGGAAACUCUGACGGAGCGACGCCGCGUGGAUGAUGAAGGUCGGAAGAUUGUAAAAAUCCUUUUAUGACUGAGGAAUAAGCCGGGUGAGAGAAACGCCUGGUGGUGACUGUAGGUCAUGAAUAAGCAACGGCUAAUUACGUGCCAGCAGCCGCGGUAACACGUAAGUUGCGAGCGUUGUUCGGAAUUAUUGGGCGUAAAGGGCAUGUAGGCGGUAUUGCAAGCCUGGUGUGAAAGGCAGGGGCUCAACCUCUGGACUGCGCUGGGAACUGCGAUACUAGAGUCGCUGAGGGGCAAUCAGAAUUCCAGGUGUAGGGGUGAAAUCUG
rnacentral:rRNA from 1 species